rnacentral:rRNA from 1 species
UGAACCGUUAUAACCGGCGAUACCCGAAUGGGGAAACCCAGUGUGACUCGUCACACUAUCAUUAACUGAAUCCAUAGGUUAAUGAGGCGAACCGGGGGAACUGAAACAUCUAAGUACCCCGAGGAAAAGAAAUCAACCGAGAUUCCCCCAGUAGCGGCGAGCGAACGGGGAGGAGCCCAGAGCCUGAAUCAGCAUGUGUGUUAGUGGAAGCGUCUGGAAAGGCGCGCGAUACAGGGUGACAGCCCCGUACACAAAAGCGCAUGUGCUGUGAGCUCGAUGAGUAGGGCGGGACACGUGGUAUCCUGUCUGAAUAUGGGGGGACCAUCCUCCAAGGCUAAAUACUCCUGACUGACCGAUAGUGAACCAGUACCGUGAGGGAAAGGCGAAAAGAACCCCGGCGAGGGGAGUGAAAAAGAACCUGAAACCGUGUACGUACAAGCAGUGGGAGCCCCACCACCAAAGCAUUUGCUGUACCGCGUUGACGGAGCGAAGCGACGUCAAACCGAUAAAACAGCAGUGUAAAGUGAGCCGCAGGGCGCUUUGCGCGACAGCGCAAAGGCAGGCGGUUUCGCGUAGCGAAAGCGAAUGCUUUGGGGUGGGGUGACUGCGUACCUUUUGUAUAAUGGGUCAGCGACUUAUAUUCUGUAGCAAGGUUAACCGAAUAGGGGAGCCGGAGGGAAACCGAGUCUUAAUUGGGCGUUAAGUUGCAGGGUAUAGACCCGAAACCCGGUGAUCUAGCCAUGGGCAGGUUGAAGGUUGGGUAACACUAACUGGAGGACCGAACCGACUAAUGUUGAAAAAUUAGCGGAUGACCUGUGGCUGGGGGUGAAAGGCCAAUCAAACCGGGAGAUAGCUGGUUCUCCCCGAAAGCUAUUUAGGUAGCGCCUCGUGAAUUCAUCUCCGGGGGUAGAGCACUGUUUCGGCUAGGGGGCCAUCCCGGCUUACCAACCCGAUGCAAACUGCGAAUACCGGAGAAUGUUAUCACGGGAGACACACGGCGGGUGCUAACGUCCGUCGUGAAGAGGGAAACAACCCAGACCGCCAGCUAAGGUCCCAAAGUCAUGGUUAAGUGGGAAACGAUGUGGGAAGGCCCAGACAGCCAGGAUGUUGGCUUAGAAGCAGCCAUCAUUUAAAGAAAGCGUAAUAGCUCACUGGUCGAGUCGGCCUGCGCGGAAGAUGUAACGGGGCUAAACCAUGCACCGAAGCUGCGGCAGCGACACUGUGUGUUGUUGGGUA